rnacentral:rRNA from 1 species
GACGAACGCUGGCGGCGUGCUUAACACAUGCAAGUCGAACGGAAAGGCCCUGCUUUUGUGGGGUGCUCGAGUGGCGAACGGGUGAGUAACACGUGAGUAACCUGCCCUUGACUUUGGGAUAACUUCAGGAAACUGGGGCUAAUACCGGAUAGGAGCUCCUGCUGCAUGGUGGGGGUUGGAAAGUUUCGGCGGUUGGGGAUGGACUGGCGGCUUAUCAGCUUGUUGGUGGGGUAGUGGCUUACCAAGGCUUUGACGGGUAGCCGGCCUGAGAGGGUGACCGGCCACAUUGGUACUGAGAGACGGCGCAGACUGCUACGGGAGGCAGUAGUGGGGAAUAUUGCACAAUGGGCGGAAGCCUGAUGCAGCAACGCCGCGUGCGGGAUGACGGCCUUCGGGUUGUAAACCGCUUUCGCCUGUGACGAAGCGUGAGUGACGGUAAUGGGUAAAGAAGCACCGGCUAACUACGUG